rnacentral:misc_RNA from 1 species
UUUCCGUAGGUGAACCUGCGGAAGGAUCAUUAGUGAACGCCCUCACGGGCUUAUCCCUCGUCCACCCACCUGUGAACCGUUCCCUUCGGGGCUCUUUUACAACCAUGCUGUACUGAACGUCCUAUAUCAUAACCAAACAAACCUUUUAACAACGGAUCUCUUGGCUCUC